rnacentral:lncRNA from 1 species
GAGUCUUGGUCUGUCGCCCAGGCUGGAGUGCAAUGGCACGAUCUCCGCUCACUGAACUCUGCCUCCCGGGUUCAAGCGACUCUCCUGCCUCAGCCUCCCGAGUAGCUGGGAUUACAGGUGCCCACCACCACGCCCAGCUAAUUUUCCUAUUUUUAGUAGAGAUGAGGUUUCACCGUGUUGGCCAGGCUGGUCUCAAACUCCUGGCCUCAAGUGAUCCGCCUGCCUUGGCCUCCCAAAGUCCUGGGAUUACAGGUGUGAGCCACCACACCCAGCUGCAAAACCCUAUUUUUCUUGAAUGGAGAAACACUUUCCCCUUAUUUAUUGAGUUUGGGAAGCAAGAAGAGGGGUAAUUCAUUAAGUGAAAAUUUCCAAAAUCCAGAAAACAUCGAUAAAGCAGCAGCUUAAUUUUUUUAAGGAAGAAUUUUUUAAACUAUCUUCUUUUGAGCCUCUUUAGGAAGACCUCACGUCCUUGCCUUGAAUGUUGAGAGUGGGAAAUCCAGGGAGGUUUUGGAAUGCAUGCCUUAUGUCUGCUUUUUUGUUUGUUAGAGAAAUAUAAAUAUUUUAUCUAGGUUUUGCUGAUGGCAGUCAAGCAUGAACACAACCCACUGUUUGAGAAGCUGUAAUUUCUGAAUUUCUGCAGAGUGCACAUCUAGGCCAGCAAAUGGCAGUAAGAGUGAGGUGGAUUUAGCUCAGUGUAAGGAUGAACUCCAGAACCAUCGGCUCUGACUGAAAGUGAAGCGGCAGCCGCGUUGUGGGAAAGCUGGCUGGAGUCUCUCUCAUAAGCAGGCAUUCUUUUUCUCCAGCCCGUCACUGUGUUGGUUUGGGCCCACGGUAAGCCUCCUGGCCUCUAGGCUGUAACCCCCACCAUCCUCCUCUGCCUCGCCUCCAGAGUGAUUGUUCUGAAGCACAACUGGAUGUCAUUCCCCUUCCUGAACUCCUAGCACCUACAGGGACUCCAUCCCUUGUGCCCCACAUACCUCACACGUAGACAUUCCUAAUGAAGAUUUGAUUGAAUUAUUGUAAACUCAGUGCCUCCCACUCUUCUAGUUGCCUCUCUGCCUGCCUUUGUACAUUUAUUUAUUUAUUUAUUUAUUUAUUUAUUUAUGAGACAGAGUCUUACUGUAUCACCCAGGCUGGAGUUUAGUGGCACCAUCUCAGCUCACUGCAACCUCUACCUCCCAGACUCAAGCAAUCCUCCCACCUCAGCCUCCCGAGGAGCUGGGACCAUAGGCACGUGCCACUAUGCCCGGUUAAUUUAUUGUAAUUUUUGUAGAGAUGGGGUUUCAUCGUGUUGCCCAGGCUAGUCUUGAACUCCUGGACUCAGGCGAUUCGCCCGUCUCAGUCUCCCAAAGUGCUGGGAUUAUAGGCGUGAGCCACCAUGCCCAGCCGCUAGCACUCAUCUUAAUCGUAUAUUUACUUAUCUGGCUUUCCCACCAGACUGCGGGCUCUUCAAGAGUAAAUGCCAUGUUUUCACCUUUAUUUCCCCAGUUUGUGGCACAUUCUAGGCACUCGCCAUCAUGAAAUAAACCUCUGGAGCUGUGAUAUUACAAACGUGAAAAGAUGACGAGCACUCAGCAACUUUCAAUGAAGCGAAGAGACAAGGAGCAAUCCAAUGUGUAAUAAAAAAAGGCAGCCUGAAUUGUUGUUGCUGUUUUUGAAAUUUAAGCUGGUUUUCAAUUAAAUUCAGUAAAUGGUCCAGGACUAUAAAUGUUGAACAUUUUUUACCGUGUAAUUUAAAUUUUAGUCUUAUUGUUUUUUUUUUGGUUUUUUUUUUUUUUGAUGGUUUACAUUUUCCCCAUGGAAAGCAGCUAUGUCAUGUCGGCAUGAUUCAUCAUGGUAACAUCUCGGGUUAUUUUGGUUUGUGUUAUGUUCAGAAAGCGGAAUGCCAAAAAUAAAGAGUGGUUUGUGAUGUCUAGUGUGUCUUCCUUUAACAAAUCAAAGGCUUUUAUUUAAUCCACUUAAUGGGACACUGCAGAAAUUUAAAAAAUGGAAGUCCCAUCCACAGAAGGCAGGUACUAUGAUGUAAAAAGUUUAGGUGGGGGAUUAAUAGAGUGAUCAUAUAAUUUAUGAGCUAAACCGGAGGCACUUUUUUUUUUGAGAUCGAGUCUCACUGUUGCCUAGGCUGGAGUGCAGUGACGUGAUCACAGCUCACUGCAACCUCCGCCUCCCGGGUUCAAGCGAUUCUCAUGCCUCAGCCUCCUGAGUAGCUGGGACUAUAGGCGCCCACCACCAUGCCCAGCUAAUUUUUGUGUUUUUUGUAGAGAUGGGGUUUCACCAUGUUGGCCAGGCUUGUCUCAAACUCCUGACCUCAGGUGAUCCGCCCACCUCGACCUCCUAAACUGCUGGGAUUACAGGCGUAAGCCACCAUGCCUGGCCCAGAGACACUUUUGAGAGUGAAGAGGAAGCUGAGAAUAAUUCACUGAUCUACAACUGGGACCAUCCAGGGCAAGCCAGAUGCCAUUACCACUAGCUAGAAAGCUUGCCAAGGUCUCAUUUACCUUGGUAUAUAGCAAAUUCUUCUUUGAAUUCUGGAAAUUCUGGUAAGUCAUUGAGGUAGCUCUGUGCCAAGGAGCAAUAUGGUAGAAUUCUAAUAUUUCAGGCAGU